rnacentral:misc_RNA from 1 species
UUUCGCCCUGAAAACUGCCAAUACACUAGUUACAGGCGCCAAACGGAGUUUUGACCCAAACGAUUCCUCCCAAACGACAACAUCCACUGGUUGGAAAACGUAAUCUUUUACACACUCCAUGAUGAACGUCAUAGCCUCAGUGAUUCUAGUUUGUGUGGCGGUUGUCUGGGUCAUCCCAGUGGCAGAGAGUUCUUGUGACUUGACUGCCUGCACGCCACCUCCCACAACCAUGAACAGCACAUCAAAUGACACCAGUGCUUUCUGUUUGCAGCAGAACACCUACCUGAGCUGUCUGAGGGAAGAAGGAUCAUCAUGUGACACCUUUCAAAAACUUAUCUUUGAUGCUGCGAUCGGAGCUGCGACAACUAUAAUUAGUCGUAUCUCGGGUUGUGAAAUUACAAGCGGUGCCCCGAUGACCGUCUACUCCAUGCUGCUGUGCCUGGUGUGUGUGACAUUCUCACUGCUGUGGCGCUGACACAACACAGACUUAAAGGGGCACUGAUCUAACGCAAUUCCCCGGGACUGGUUGUUGCCUUUGUUAUUGUUUUUUCCCAGUGUUUCACAUAGGUGUCAAGUCUCAAGGGUCGGCUGAGAAAGCCCACGUGACAACUAUUUUC